CCUGCUAGAAGUAAAAUUCAGGGAUGGACCAUCUUUGUUGUAACCAACAUUAGAUCUCUGUAUCCUCCUUUGAUGUGCCUUUUCCCACUGCAGUUUCCUAAAAUAAUUUUUAGUUAGUUGGUCAUAUGAGAUUCAUUUAGAAUGUUGAUAGUUUUGUUUAGCCUAUUAGAUUCAGUUUGGUUUAGUAGCUUUUUCACUGGGUAAUGCCUGUUGUAGUCCUCUGUCUGGGUUGAUUGAUCAUUGAAAAGUCACGUUCACGUAUUUGAACUGGUAUCUUGUCAAUACUUGUAAUUCUUAGUUUUAAUUCUUUCCCGAGUACUCUUUUCUUUGUCAUUUUUCAGUUAUAUUUCUUUCCUAAUUGCUCUUUUUUCCUCUGAUUCGUCAGUUUGAGUUCUUCUUUGUCUUGUCAUUAUUCAGUUUUAGUUCUUCAGUUUGUCAGUGUUAAAGAGGAAUUCUUUCCUGGGUACGUUUGUCUUUCUCUUAGUUUUACGGAUUUGCUAAUUUUCAGACGGAUGAAAAUAAUUGGCGUUCAUUCGUUUUCUUAUCCGUCCGAUCUCUCCGUUGAGAUUAGUGCUAUUCUUUUUUUUUAGCUUGGAGCUGGUUUGGUUGUUAUCGGGGCAGCAAUUAUUUUUGGGGAGACCCGUUAAUUCUCACGCCUGGCGUCUCCUAGCUGAGUGCCCUUUCAUUUUAAUUUUUUCCUUUCGUUUUCCUGUAACGGCCCUUGUCUCUUCCCCUUCCCAUUUCUGCGACGAGAGCUCGGUGAGAUAGAGAGGGAGAAGCAUGGCGAUUUCGAUUUGGAGCUCUCCUGCGCUGCUCGCUUGAGGGAUUGGUGGUCAGGUGUUCGGAGCUCGUCAGGCCGUUGUGGUUUUUAUUUUCUCCCCUCCCUGCAUCUCUAUCCUCUGUUCCUUGUUCCCUUCUGUUUUCCUCGGAAGAUUUGUGGGUUGCUCGUGUGCUGUUAUGUGUAAUUUUAGUUGAUGCUCCCUCGUUAAAUGCUUGUGUUAUUUUCUCCGCUCGUUUUUGCCUGAUUCUGUUCUCUGCGUCUAGAUGUUUGUGGUUUUGAUGUUCGUGUCCUGGGUUUCUUCAGCUAGACCGUUUCGAUCUGAAAUUUUAUCUGCUAGUGGUUAGUUUGUAACCUGAUUUAUGGAGAUUUAUGUUAGUUAUCUACCCAGUAGCUAUUGAUUUUUAGAUCUGGUAUCCUUUUGCUGUGAGUUGAGCUGGGAGAAAAUUAGUUCAUCAUACUACUUCACCUGCUGGAUCGAGGUGCUGUUUGUAAAUGCUAUUGAUUAUGAAAUAGCAGAUGAGAGGGAAUCUGUUUUUUGUAUCCAUUGUAGGGGCAGUUGGAUUUGUCUUUGUUCUCUAGUGCUUGUAAUCCAUGUAGGUGAGGGUGGUAGUCUGUGUAAGUGUAACUUCGUGGUGCUGUGUAAUCCAUGUACUUCGCCUGUUCGAUCGUGGUGUUUUUUUGUAAAUGCAAUGUCUGUAUAUAGCCCUGCUCCUCCAGUGUGCAUUGGCAGCAAGGAAAAAAGCAAGUUUCUAGCUGGCUAUUUCAGGUUAGUUGGGUUUCCUUUUUGUUUUUUAAGUUGCCUGCCAUUGUAAUUUAUCUUGCUUGGCAGUGUAUUCCAUUGCCAUUUACUGUAGGCUUGCCUUUGUAAUUAGUUGAUCGCCUCCAUAAUAUAUGUUGCUUGUGAGUGUAUAUUUUCUCUUACUGUUUUAUAUCCAGUGAUAGUACUGUAAGCACUUUAAUGUGUUCUUUUUGUCUUCUAAAAUGCAAAUUGUUUCUAGAACAAUAGGAACUACCCACGAUAGUAAUUUCAUUGUAAAAUGUAAUAAAAGCCAGAAUGCAGUAAAGCGUGGACUAUGCAUGUCUGGAUUUUUUACAAGGAUUCUUUUAGUAAUUGUCUUACACAACUACAUUAUUUUUUCAACCAUAGUUCUUGGUGUCUUUCCCAGUCUAGUCUUACAAUCAGUUUUGUGCUGUUUAUUUUGGUCAUUUUUACAGUGCGUAUGUUUCUGAAUUACAUUGUAAUCUAACAUGUAAUUAACAAGCUAGGAUGCAGUAAAUUUUGGAGUUGUGUAAUAUUUGUGGUUUGUCUUUCUUGAGUAUUUGCAUCCAUUUUAGAACCAUUUCUUUUAUUUUUCUAUGUUUUGGGUGGUAUUGCAUCUAAGUUCACAGCAGCUUCAUGACUAGUUCCAUUUCAAUUACAGUGUAAUCUCCUCUGAAAUUGCAGUUUAAUCACUGUGCAAUUAUAGUGUUGUUACAAUGUAAUUUCAGAGUAAUCACAGUAUGAUUUUUAGGGUAAUUACAUUGCAAAUCACAGUGCUAUUUUGAUGUAAUUACAGUGCAAAUUCACUUAAUUUACAGUGUCGCUGCAAUGUAAUUUCCAGGGGAAAUCAAUGUGUAAUAUACUGAAUCAACGUUUGUUUCAGAAACUUUGCCGUGCACAAGAAUUUCUGCUUGUCUACUAAUUUCAACAGCUUGAUAGUAGUAAUUUCAGUAUUUCUGCUACUGUAAAUUUUAUUUUCUUUUGCCCUAGUGCUUUUCAAACCAAACUGACCAGUUUUUUUUUUUAUUUUAACUAGAGUGCUCUGUGCAAUACACUCCGUGGAUAGAAAGAAUUUGUGAUCUCUGCUUUUCGGUCUUCUGGUAUUACAGGUUCUUAGAUCUCAGAAAAAAUCACUAGGCAUGAGAAAAGGAGUUGGAAUUGAGUGACUUGUGACAUGUGGAUCGUCUCGUGUAUGAUUGUCUCUUGUACGAAUCGAUUUUGAAAAAUUUGACGUUGUCUACCUAGCUGUUCCCAACCAGACAAAUAUAAAAGUAUGGCUGACCUUAUCUUCUUUUAUAUUAUGUUCUUGAUUUACAUUGUUGGUAUCUUAUUUUCUUGUUUUCUUCCUUUAUUCAUGUGGAACAAGGUCUUUACAUUCAAGUUUAUGAAAGUGUGGUUUACAAGGACUCAAGGUUCUAAUCAUUUUCAAGCGCUG
rnacentral:lncRNA from 1 species